rnacentral:rRNA from 1 species
GACGAACGCUGGCGGCGUGCUUAACACAUGCAAGUCGAGCGGUAAGGCCCUUCGGGGUACACGAGCGGCGAACGGGUGAGUAACACGUGGGUGACCUGCCCUCCACUUCGGGAUAAGCCUGGGAAACCGGGUCUAAUACCGGAUAUGACUUCCUCACGCAUGUGGGGUGGUUGGAAGUUGUGUCGGUGGGGGAUGGGCCCGCGGUCUAUCAGCUUGUUGGUGGGGUGAUGGCCUACCAAGGCGACGACGGAUAGCCGGCCUGAGAGGGUGAUCGGCCACACUGGGACUGAGACACGGCCCAGACUCCUACGGGAGGCAGCAGUGGGGAAUCUUGCGCAAUGGGCGGAAGCCUGAC